rnacentral:rRNA from 1 species
GCUAGGAGGCGUCGAGCGGCGGACGGGUGAGUAAUGCAUAGGAAUCUGCCCGGUAGUGGGGGAUAACCUGGGGAAACCCAGGCUAAUACCGCAUACGCCCUACGGGGGAAAGCAGGGGAUCUUCGGACCUUGCGCUAUCGGAUGAGCCUAUGUCGGAUUAGCUAGUUGGUGAGGUAACGGCUCACCAAGGCUGCGAUCCGUAGCUGGUCUGAGAGGAUGAUCAGCCACAUCGGGACUGAGACACGGCCCGAACUCCUACGGGAGGCAGCAGUGGGGAAUAUUGGACAAUGGGCGAAAGCCUGAUCCAGCCAUGCCGCGUGUGUGAAGAAGGCCUUCGGGUUGUAAAGCACUUUCAGUGAGGAAGAAAGCCUUGAGGUUAAUACCCUCGAGGGAGGACAUCACUCACAGAAGAAGCACCGGCUAACUCCGUGCCAGCAGCCGCGGUAAUACGGAGGGUGCGAGCGUUAAUCGGAAUUACUGGGCGUAAAGCGCGCGUAGGCGGCUUGAUAAGCCGGUUGUGAAAGCCCCGGGCUCAACCUGGGAACGGCAUCCGGAACUGUCAGGCUAGAGUGCAGGAGAGGAAGGUAGAAUUCCCGGUGUAGCGGUGAAAUGCGUAGAGAUCGGGAGGAAUACCAGUGGCGAAGGCGGCCUUCUGGACUG